UACGUAGGGGGCAAGCGUUAUCCGGAUUUACUGGGUGUAAAGGGAGCGUAGACGGCAGUGCAAGUCCGGAGUGAAAGCCCGGGGCUCAACCCUGGGACUGCUCUGGAAACUGUAAAGCUGGAGUGCGGGAGGGGCAGGCGGAAUUCCUAGUGUAGCGGUGAAAUGCGUAGAUAUCAGGAGGAACACCGGCGGCGAAGGCGGCCUGCUGGACCGUAACUGACGUUGAGGCUCGAAAGCGUGGGGAGCAAACAGG
rnacentral:rRNA from 1 species